UACGUAGGGUGCGAGCGUUAAUCGGAAUUACUGGGCGUAAAGCGUGCGCAGGCGGUUCGCUAAGACCGAUGUGAAAUCCCCGGGCUUAACCUGGGAACUGCAUUGGUGACUGGCGGGCUAGAGUAUGGCAGAGGGGGGUAGAAUUCCACGUGUAGCAGUGAAAUGCGUAGAGAUGUGGAGGAAUACCGAUGGCGAAGGCCAGCCCCCUGGGCCAAUACUGACGCUCAUGCACGAAAGCGUGGGGAGCAAACAGG
rnacentral:rRNA from 1 species